AAAAAGUCAAAAGUGAUAUUUUAUUGGAGAGUGGUUCAAGCAACAAGGGAAACCAGGCAAGUGAGAAAAUUGAGGUAGGGAAUUUCCAGUGGCGUGGUGAAAUGCGUAGAGAUCGGAAAGAACACCAACGACGAAAGCACGCUGCUGGGCCGACACUGACACUGAGAGACGAAAGCUAGGGGAGCGAAUGGGAUUAGAUACCCCAGUAGUCCUAGCCGUAAAUGAUGGAUACUAGGCGCUGUGUGUAUCGACCUGUGCAGUGCUGUAGCUAACGCGUUAAGUAUCCC
rnacentral:ncRNA from 1 species